rnacentral:rRNA from 1 species
UACGAAGGGGCUAGCGUUGCUCGGAAUCAGCUGGGCGUAAGGUGCGUAGGCGGGUCUUUAAGUCAGGGGUGAAAUCCUGGAGCUCAACUCCCAGAACUGCCUUGAUACUGAAGAUCUUGAGUUCGGGAGAGGUGAGUGGAACUGCGAGUGUAGAGGUGAAAUUCGUAGAUAUUCGCAAGAACACCAGUGGCGAAGGCGGCUCACUGGCCCGAGUACUGACGCUGA